rnacentral:rRNA from 1 species
UACGUAGGGGGGCAAGCGUUGUCCGGAAUCAUUGGGCGUAAAGCGCGUGUAGGCGGCUUCGUAAGUCCGUUGUGAAAGUCCAGGGCUCAACCCUGGAAUGCCGAUGGAUACUGCGGAGCUAGAGUCCGGAAGAGGCGAGUGGAAUUCCUGGUGUAGCGGUGAAAUGCGCAGAUAUCAGGAGGAACACCAAUGGCGAAGGCAGCUCGCUGGGACGGUACUGACGCUGAGACGCGAAAGCGUGGGGAGCGAACAGG